rnacentral:rRNA from 1 species
UACGUAGGGUGCGAGCGUUGUCCGGAAUUAUUGGGCGUAAAGGGCUCGUAGGCGGUUUGUCGCGUCGGGAGUGAAAUCCACUGGCUUAACUGGUGGCUUGCUUUCGAUACGGGCAGACUGGAGGUAUGCAGGGGAGAACGGAAUUCCUGGUGUAGCGGUGAAAUGCGCAGAUAUCAGGAGGAACACCGGUGGCGAAGGCGGCAUCCUGGACCGACACUGACGCUGAGGAGCGAAAGCCAGGGGAGCAAACGGG